AUUGAACGCUGGCGGCAGGCCUAACACAUGCAAGUCGAGCGGUAGAGAGGUGCUUGCAUCUCUUGAGAGCGGCGGACGGGUGAGUAAUGCCUAGGAAUCUGCCUAGUGGUGGGGGAUAACGUUCGGAAACGGACGCUAAUACCGCAUACGUCCUACGGGAGAAAGCGGGGGAUCUUCGGACCUCGCGCCAUUAGAUGAGCCUAGGUCGGAUUAGCUAGUUGGUGAGGUAAUGGCUCACCAAGGCGACGAUCCGUAACUGGUCUGAGAGGAUGAUCAGUCACACUGGAACUGAGACACGGUCCAGACUCCUACGGGAGGCAGCAGUGGGGGAAUAUUGGACAAUGGCGAAAGCCUGAUCCAGCCAUGCCGCGUGUGUGAAGAAGGUCUU
rnacentral:rRNA from 1 species